AUGCUACUCAGACAGACAGUGCUGCUUAAUAUAGCACAAGUUCCUGAGAGAAAGAAGAUGGUUGAUUUUGUCUCUCUGCUAGUGGAUCCUUGUGAUGUGCUCAUAACAUGUUUUGUGACAUGUUCUAAUGAAGUCUAAAGUGUGGACCAGCCAUCAGAGCUACCUACUGGGAUCACCCGAAGAGCUAACAUGAAGUUUUGAACCAGAAAAGACCUUUUUGUCAGUUAUAUUUUGAUGUCCCUGCAGCCACAUGAAACAUGGGGAAUCUCAAAAGACUCAAAACUGCAAAAAUAGAGUGAAAAAAUAAAUUUUGAGAAUUUAAUUGUUUAGAUGAUCA
rnacentral:lncRNA from 1 species